AUGCUGUUUGUACAAGUUGUUUGAUAUCUAUUGUUAUACUUAAAAGUGCUUAAUAUUGAUACAAAACCACGAACAUUACACUGUGCAGUUGGGCAUGAUACUUUUGACAUAAAAUUGAGAAGGCGAAAGAGAGAACGUGCUUAGUAAAACAGAUAAAAUUAUUAAAAUUAUAUUUUACGUUACCAGGUUAACAAUAUUAAAGUAUUUUUCAUCCUUUACCCGUACUUUUAUAUACGACCAUCUAGAAACAGGGCCGGAUUAACGUUCCGCGCGGGGGCCCGUGGCGUAAUAUUAGCGCGGAGCCCCUUGACCCCCCCCCCCCCCCCCCCCCC